rnacentral:tRNA from 1 species
GUAUAGCUAGCUCAGUUGUAGAGCACUUGUCUAGCAUAUGUGAGACCCUGGGUUCAAUCCCUGGCAUCACA